AACGCGAAGAACCUUACCUACCCUUGACAUGUCAAGAAUCUAGCAGAGAUGUUGGAGUGCCUUCGGGAACUUGAACACAGGUGCUGCAUGGCUGUCGUCAGCUCGUGUCGUGAGAUGUUGGGUUAAGUCCCGUAACGAGCGCAACCCUUGUCCUUAAUUGCUAGCAGGUAAAGCUGAGAACUUUAAGGAGACUGCCGGUGAUAAACCGGAGGAAGGUGGGGAUGACGUCAAGUCCUCAUGGCCUUUAUGGGUAGGGCUACACACGUGCUACAAUGGGCAGUACAGACGGUAGCAAAGCUGCGAAGUGGAGCCAAUCUGAAAAAGCUGUUCGUAGUCCGGAUUGGAGUCUGCAACUCGACUCCAUGAAGUUGGAAUCGCUAGUAAUCGCGGAUCAGAACGCCGCGGUGAAUACGUUCCCGGGCCUUGUACACACCGAGUAUA
rnacentral:rRNA from 1 species